rnacentral:lncRNA from 1 species
CUGAAAUUUAUUAAGCACUUUCAAUAACAAGUAAUUCCCAAGCGUCAUUGCAUUUCAUCCCCAUCAUAGCCCAAUGACGUAGACUAUGAUCAUUCUUAUUUUGCAGAGGGGGAUGUGGAAUCAGAGAAGUUGAGCCACUUGGUCAUGGUCACACAGCUAUAAAGAUGGAAACCAAGGUCCAGAUGCCCUUAGUCAUCAAUAAGACUAAUUUCAGCUUCCCCUCGAGAAGCCAAGUUCAAAGCCAUCCGCAAAAUGAUCACUCAGCAUCCACCAGACAGAUUGGUGGGGGCCAGUGCGGGGAGGAGGAAGGAGGAAGCGAAGAGACAACGCCAGCAUCCACUCACUGGCUCUCUCACUGUCUGCAUUCAACAAGUCCGGAAGGAUUUGGUUGCCUGGUACAAAGCCUUACAGGGAGAAAGUUUGAAAGGCCUUUGGAAAUGUUUAGAAGCUCUUCUAAGAUGGAAUUUAAAAAAUUACUUAUUUGGAUAAAAUAAUGGUAUUUUAUAGUUCCAUUUUGAACAUAUUUGGAAUAAGUAAAGACAAAGAAAAAAGAAAGAAAAGAAACAGUGAGGAAUUUGGAUUCUCAGGGGAAGUGGACUGAGAUGCACACCCUUCCCUGCUUCAGUGAGGCCUGGGAAGCCAUCAGGGGCCUGUGGACAUUGUUCUGGAUGAGUUUUGCUCAUUUCGCAGAAGGUCUAAAAACAAAAACAAAACAAUUGUGCUUUGAACCUGAAGGCAGCUUAUGUUUCUUUCUGUGCGGCUCCUCCCUUCCGCUUCCUGGACCUGAGUGUCGAUUUCAUCUGCGGCUUAGCAGUGGUGCAUCCUGAGCGCGUCCUUUCAUCCUUCUGAACCUCAAUAUGCUCAGCUGUGAAAUGGGGAUGGUGAGAGCCCUGGCUCACAGCUCAGAGACUGUUACAGAAUGGAAUGCGGUGAGGUUUGUGAAGCCGUCACUCAGAGCCGUGGGCCAGCCACUUCUUAGCUGGCAUUACAGCUCCUGCAGCCAGCCACUUCUGGUAACUGAUCAUGGAACUGACCUUCAGAAGAAAACGUAUGGAGGGGGAGGGAAUACAGAGGAGACACAACCCAAAGCAGAAAUGUGGAAAUACUCUUCAGUUUUCUGUUGCAAUUAUUAGCACAAUAGUUCAUACUUACCCUCUGCCUCAAACUACAAAGCACUGUAACCCAUUAUCUCGGGCAUGUGUGUAUAUACUUGCACACCAAUUCCCACUUUAUACACUCAGGCUCAGAGAGGUGAACUGACUUGCCUGAGGACCCACAGCUAGCUGGUUGAACUGCACCUCAGAUGCCAGCUUUCCUGGCUCCUUACUCCUGCCGAUCCCAGGACACUUCUGACAAGGGUGGCAGUCUGAUUUCCCGAAGACAGGAGCUCAGAGGGAGAUUAGUUUGCUUUAAAGAAAAAAAAAAAGAAAGAAAGAAACUGACAGUUUGGGGGCACUGGCAUUUUGGCUGCAGAUUUAUACAGGCGACACAAGCCCUCAGGGAAUCGGCUUAGAAAUCCAAGGUACAUUUGUCAGUUACCCCCAAUGGGAGAAGAGAAAGAUCUUAGUCCCUGCCCUAGCAGCGCUCUGUGUGUUGUAGGAAAGGAAAGAUGUGGUCAUGGAGGCAACAUGGGAGCAGGGGACAAGGUGGGGUGGCGCCAAGACGGGCUGUUCUGAGAUGGAGGUGAGUGAGUGGUGAGUGGGACCCCGGGAGGCCAGGCUGUCUGCAGCUGGUGGCACAGGCCUGAAAUGGGCCAGAUGAGAGGAGAGCGCUGGAGAGGGCUGAGGAGGGCCAGGCAGGCCCCCAGCCAGAAGUGGGGGCCUCUGCGUGGGCGGCAGCUCUCCCUCCCUUCCUCGUGGUUGGCUGCUGAAGUUCCAUGGCAACCUUCUAAGCCGGCACACGAUCCCCUGUGGGUGCAGCAAAAAACCUUUAGGAACUUUGGCUGAAUGAGAUCCUUAUUCACAGCUCAGAAGUCAAAACUUGAGUUUUGAGAGGGAUUGGGAGAAAGAGCUGCAUUUUUAGACUCACUUGUCCUUACCCUGAAUUUCUUUCCAAGGUUGGCAGGUGGAGGCCAAUGGGGUGAUUCGGACCCGGUAUUGUGGGCUAUCAGCCUGCCAGUCACCCACAGGCUCCCACAACCCUGAGAUUUGAGCUUCGGAGAGAAGCAAUUUUGACAAACCAGGGCUGAAGGAGUGGAACGUAUUUUGGUUGGAAUCCAUGACUUUUUACUCCCACCGAUUAAACAGGAAACAAACAUUUUGAGCAGGUUCCAAUCCUCAGCUGAAUGUGGCUGUGCCGUCCAUAUAUGGGGACACUCGGUCUCCAACCAUUCUACCGGGACACUCGGGGACCUUGGAGGCACCCACCUGCCUCGGUGUUCCUGUUACUAAAAAUCAGACUGGAUUUCAAGGCAGUGGAUCUGGCCCGGCUUUCUGUGUCCAGGGUGGCCUGGAACUGGAUCUGGUUUGGGCAGGUCUAGGCACUGACAGCACCUGAUUUGGUGUGCCCCUGCUGAGGAUGGGUGCGGGUGGGGAAGGAGGGGCACACAUGGAAGAAGGGUGCAUGAGCUGAAAGGCAGCGUGUGGAGGCUGAAGCCCAGUGGGCUGAGGAUGCUGCAGUGGGGUGGCCUGAUGAAGUGGGCACUCUGAAGUGUGUCCACCUGCCGUGACUUGCUAAAGCACAGUGGACCCACAGCCUUGGUGGACACCUUGAAGGACUGCUGUUCUGAGGGCACCUUGGCCUAACCAGAUGAUGAC